GGGAUAAGGGGGACGAUGGGCUUCUUCUUCUUCUCUUUCUUUUGGCUAAAAAACUUCGUUGUGAUCGUCGUCUUGCAUGCAGAAUGCAGAGAUGGAGAGAGAAUAUGUCCAUCCGGCCAAGAGAUUCUACAUAAACCAAGUAGUGAUUAUCGGCGCCAGGCAGUCACUGCCAUCAGCCUUGGGUUGACGGGAUGCUGGCGAUGCUGAGAGAAGUCGAUGCUUUGGCGAUGAGCAUUCAUGAAGAUAACGGCAGAUCCUGUCUCGAAUGCCGUCGGAGCGUGGGUGGUGGCCAGCUUGAAGGCUCAUUGAUAUCUGUCAGGGGUCAAGCAUCAGAGUACAGCACAGCAAG
rnacentral:snoRNA from 1 species